UUACCAGACUCCUACGGGAGGCAGCAGUGAGGAAUAUUGGUCAAUGGCCGCAGGGCUGAACCAGCCAAGUCGCGUGAGGGAAGACGGUCCUAUGGAUUGUAAACCUCUUUUGUCGGGGAGCAAAAGACGCCACGUGUGGCGUUCCGAGAGUACCCGAAGAAAAAGCAUCGGCUAACUCCGUGCCAGCAGCCGCGGUAAUACGGAGGAUGCGAGCGUUAUCCGGAUUUAUUGGGUUUAAAGGGUGCGCAGGCGGAAGAUCAAGUCAGCGGUAAAAUUGAGGGGCUCAACCUCUUCGAGCCGUUGAAACUGGUUUUCUUGAGUGAGCGAGAAGUAUGCGGAAUGCGUGGUGUAGCGGUGAAAUGCAUAGAUAUCACGCAGAACUCCGAUUGCGAAGGCAGCAUACCGGCGCUCAACUGACGCUAAUGCACGAAAGUGUGGGUAUCGAACAGGAUUAGAUACCCCUGUA
rnacentral:rRNA from 1 species